GGGUGCGAUCAUACCAGCACUAAUGCAUCGGAUCCCAUCAGAACUCCGCAGUUAAGCGUGCUUGGGCGAGAGUAGUACUAGGAUGGGUGACCUCCUGGGAAGUCCUCGUGUUGCACCCC
rfam:Vitis vinifera, whole genome shotgun sequence of line PN40024, unoriented chromosome 17, chr17